UCCGGCCAUAUCACGUUGAAAUACCGGUUCCCGUACGAUCACCGAAGUUAAGCAAGGUCGAACCUAGUUAGUACCUAGAUGGGUGAU